CUGACAUAAAAGACUGUAACACAUGUGGUAGCUUCUCUGAGAGAUAUUCUUUAACAUAUGAAGCCUUAAUAAUGAGGUCAGCUUGCUGAAAGGGGUGACAAGGUUGAGGGCAGGCAGAGUGGAGUGGAAUUGUGGCUGAGAGGCAGACCUCAAGUGAAAGAAAUAAAAGAAAUCUCUGGAUAAGUGAAUGCUCUUAAUAUCUAAGCUGGUCACAAAGUAACUAAGAACAAAGUUAAGAACUUUAUGUGUCUAACUUUGUGUCUCUUUUCCUCUCCAUUCUGCUAUCACUUCCCUGGAGCCUUUCGUCUCAUCUGUAAGUGAAAGGCAUAGAAAUGGGUAGUCUCCAAGGUCAUUCUCAGCUCUGACAGCCUUGGAUUAACCCUUCCACGUUAAGUUCCUUGGAAACAGAUUCUGGGACAGUUAUUUGUGAACAGAAAGUUUACUGGAAGGAAGCAAAAUUAAGCAGAGGAAGAAACUAAACUGUGAUAUAGUCACAACUAUGGUCUCAGCUAUGAAGCUGUGAUUGCCUUUCAGAUUUGUCCUGAAUUAAGGAAAAGCACUUCAGGUCAUUCUGCUAGAGAUGCUUGGGAACAAUACCUUGAAAAACAUGAAUCCAGUGGACCCAUUUGAGGAGGCCCGCUGUCAACUCUAAAGCCAUUGUACCACUCCAUAGCUUGGACUGCCGAGCAACUAACCAUGAAGUAUGAAGAGAAUCUCAAAGCAGGUUUUCUUGAAAAAUGAAAUGUGAACGAAAACUUAUCUAUUCCAUUUAGUCACUUCUUAUUGAUAGAGAAGUUUCCAUCUGAAUAUCUGAAUUAAACAUUCAUUAACAGA
rnacentral:lncRNA from 1 species